ACUGCUUUUUCGAUGCUGACCGACUCAUUCACAGUCACUACCAUCUGGCUCCUCCGAAUACACCCUAUUGCCACCAAGACAUGCGUCCAAGAUUCAAAGGUCGAUUUUGAGUGUGUUAAAAAGCGACCUUUCUCUGUGGGUUUGUACUAAUCGAAGAAUGGAUAUCUUCUACCCCUUUACGCACUCCCUGCUUCCAUCGAACGGUUUUAACAUUGCCUAUUUCCUCUACCAGUUGAAUACAACGUCUGCCUAUAACGUUGUCUCUCGAUUAUUUCGUCUCAUACCCUUCACAAAUUUUGACCGACUGUCGUCUUUUGAUUUCGUAUUUUCCAUUGUCAUCCUACUACCGAGUGUAUCUGCUUCUAAUCAGAUAUUUACAGGGAGGUUAUCCACCACCUUCUCCUUUUUCAAUCUUACAAAAAGGGAUUACAUCCGUAUUUCCAUUUCAUCGGUGAAAUCAUACAGAUGGAAGGGACAAAGAGAGAGACAACUUCCCAUACUCAAAUACGCAGAGGAGGAUGUCGGUGAAUUCCUACAGUGAGAAAAGAUUAGCAUUUUCUUACCGCACACAAAGUGUUCGACAGAAUGUCACAUUGAAGAUUUCCUGCUUUGACUGCCUUCAAUUGUUAGAAUGCAAAUCUAGAAACCCAUGAAGGCAUCAAGCGAUUAAGGCUACCAGCCACUUCUUUGAAGGCCAUCACCUCAUCAGGAUCCACGAAAGGUGAGCUCUUCUUGGCAUAUGUUAGCACUAAAGUCAUCAACAAUUCAACAAAAACAUGACAACUGAUGUAACAAUGGACACAAAUUCAAAGGUAACCAAUAACUACCAUACUUUUAUCGAAUCCCUUUUUCUUCAAUUAAAACAUAUUCACCAUUUCUUGCACCUAGACUGAAGACUAUCUUCAACUUCAUAGCCCCUGAUCAGAAAUCUGGAAAGGUUUUUCCGUUUAUCUAUGCAUUAUAAUUAUUUUAUUAUAGCAUUUGAUGUUCAUUUCUUUCUAUUGUUGGUUCUGUUCUUACUUUAUUAACACACACCUUGAUUUUAUGGUUUUAGAGUUUUCUAUACUAUUAACACUUACUUUUUUCCUGAAAUUUUUGUGAAUUUUGACGGUAUACUUAAUGAUUUUUAACCAUGUGAUUGUUGAAGGGAAGAAGUUAUAUAUGAACUUAAUCCAAUUCUUUGACAAAAGUUUUUGACAUCUUGGCAACUUUGGAUUCAUAUUUUGUAAGAAGAAUACACUGAUGAAUGAAGUUGUACGGAGCUUUUAUCUAAACUUUGUUUAUCAUUUGACGAUAGGAAAAAAAACUUUUGCUUUAAUUUUAUUACUCAUUAUAAAAAAAGAUCCGUGAUAAGAAUAGUCAACGUACAUCAAUGCUUUUGUUAUAGUUUUAAAUAUUUUGAGUUUUUUUUUGUUAGGGAAACAACCAAAGUCCUUGGUUCUCAUAUUAUUAGCACAUAUUCAACAAUGAGACAGUCUCAUGGAGGUGACAAUGUUGUUCAAAAUUCACAGACUGAAACUAAUUUGUUGAGAUUUCACGGUGGAGAUUUGUGCGAUUUGGAGAAGAAAAAGGACCUAUAGUCUAUGUUUUCUUUUGAGGUUGGACAUAAAGAAAAUGAAGGACAAUACAAUAGCAUUUGGUAUGCACAUAAAAAGAUUCAAAAAAUCAAAUUGGUUCGUAUUUCUUCAUUCAAUUAUAUUGUUUUAUUUAUUUUAAUUUAUGUUGAUUUAAUUCUUCAACUUAGAAAUUAGUUGGGUGAUCAGGUUGAGUUUUUGUUACUCAUGUAUUUUUUGUUACUCAUGUAUUCGACACCAAGAAACUUCUGAAACCUAAGAAUAACUAAAUUAGAGAAUCAGUUACGUGAGUUAAAAGUAGACAAACACGAAAAUGAUAGGGACACAAAACUGUCACAUAAAAAGUGUAGUCUUGCAGUUACUGUUUCUAUGGGAAGAUGUCAUAAAUGGUUUUAAUUUAGUGCAUUAUGUUUGUAUUUGGUGAUAUUUAUAAAGAAGGUUUAAAUUUGUUUGUUGCAUUUUUUUUUCAUAUUUAGAUCGUAAAUACACUAAAUAGCAAUGUACUUUUCAUUUAAACAAUUUUGUUUAUGUUUUUUUAUUCAAAUUCUUAUUAUUUAUUUUUUACUCAAAACCAUAUUACAUUUCCAUUGGGUUCAUGUGAAGCACAAAGAAAGAUUGUCAGGCAAAUGUAUACAUGUCGAACCAAAUCAUGAAGAGUUGAACCGAAUUCAUCCAAAUGUGCUUCAUUCGGCUAAUGGAAAGUGGGUUUUUGGUAUGUGGUAGAUUUUAGCAUAUUUUAAAACAAAAUACUAAAAUAGCAUUAUAGCAUCCUACUUUCGUCACCCGCCAAACAUCAACAAAAAUAUCUGACCCGUGUGUGUUCGGUAAAUUUGUUUAUUCCGAACCCUGCGGAGCGGGGUUUCCCACCUAGUUAUAAUAUUUAUAAUUUAAAAUCUGAUCAUAUUUAUCUAUCCAAACUAAUUACAAAACUUGAAAAUCAAACUUUAUUCACUAAAAUAUUACUAUAACCAACAUAUUUUUUAAUUUUCAGAUUAAAUACAGGAAAAAUCAGAUAUUUCAGUUGCAAAUGGCAUUUCUUGAAAUGCAUUAAUAUAGUUUAGGUGGUAAAAGCAGAUUGGAGGUUGUUGGAUUUAAUGACACAUGACAAACAAGAUUAGGAUUGGGAUUUAAAAUUCAAAAUUCAAAGGAUACCUAUUUUAUCCCUUAAUAACAAACAAACUUUAUCAGGAAUAUCAUUAUAUAUACUAAUGCCGCCAAAUUCCAACCCAUUUCUCAGUCAAGUUGAAUAUUCCAACUAUCAAAAACCAUCAUGUAGGCCUUUAACAAUGAUGUGGAUACAACAACACAUGAAUCUGUUGAAAAACAACAUUAUCUCCAAAGAAAGAAAAAACGUGAGCACUUAAAUCUUGGAAAUGGAAUGAAGUUAUUGAUCUUGUAAGUUCUGAUAAUCAACAUCAGUUGAAUGAUGAAGAUGUGGAUACAACAGAUACAACUGAGUUAGUAAAAUCGUUCAAAAUCCCUCGACUCACAAUCCAGACCCGAAACAGGUUCUUUAAGCUUCGUCAUCUACCGGAUGACGAAGAUUACGGAAAUUGGUUGGAGUCACCUAUAGAUAUGAACCAACCAAUACAAGAAGAUGAUGCGCCACAUCAGGCUGAAGAUGAUGUAGAUGUGAUCCAGCAAAAUCCGGUUGAAAAUGAUGUACGUAAUCGAACAAGAGCUGUUGUGGCUUGGCCGGAUGAAGAAUGAGCCUAACAAGAAAGAUCGUCAAUUUUAUUUUAUCAGUAAUUUGAAUGACUUUUUGUAGUACAUCCAAGUCAUAAAUUUGGUAUUUUAUAUUUAGUAGUAUAUGCUUUUAGCUACUAGGAUAUUGGGAUUUUAUGUUUUUUCUUUUGAUUAUUAUUGAAUUUAUGGUUUUUGAAUCAUACU